UGACAAAAAAUUAAAAAUGCUAUUUGAGAGAAUUGCUCUUAAAAAUAUUAUGCAUCAUGCCCAUUAUUAAAAUAUUAUCUUAUUAUUUUCUUUAUUUUAAUAAUUCUAAUUUUAGUUUUUUUAUUACUGUGUUUUACCAGAAAAAAAAAAUAAAUCCAGAAAAUGAAAAUAUGCAAAUCAUUUACACACAAUUAAAAAUGAUUUAGAUAUUUGUUUCCAAUAUAAUCUAUACUAGGUAAUAACCUGCGCCUUGCACGGAAUGUGAUUAUUAGUUUCGUUAUUUUUUAAUAAGGAGACAUUAAUCUGUUUAAUCUAGAUAUCAGUUCGGUUUUAGGUUGUUUUUUUAGUUUUUAGUCCCCUGAAAUAUAACUAUCAUUUUAAAUCAAUAUUUAUUUGGUUUGUUCGGUUAAAAUGAUUGAUGUUUUUGUUUUUUUUCCUCUGGUAAUGAAAAAAUACUAUUAUUUAUUUGUUUUCAUGUUAUGAAUCUUAGAUAGUCGUGAUGUCAAAUUAAUGAUUUCAUAUUAUAGUUUCUAAACAGAUAAUAGUUAAAAAAAAUAGAAAAAACAAUUAUGAAGAUAAAUCAUUUUAUUACAAUUUGGUCGAUAGUGAAAGAAUUAUUAAGAAAAAAAAUAUUUUAACUUCCAAAAAUAUUAGAUAUUUCAGUUUUGGUAAAUACUUAGUUAUAAGGUGCUCAGGUCAAUGUGCACAUGUAUCUGUAUGUAAAAGUAUAUAAAGAUGGUUGAUAAAUAUAUAAAGAUAAUGUUAAUUAAUAUUAAAUGACAUUUUUUUUUCAAAAUAAUACAUGAAAAAUAAAAUUCUUAAAAUGAAAUUAUUUAAAAACAAAAAUAUUGUAAAAUUUAUAUAAACUAUAAUAUAUAACUUAUAUAUAAUUCUUUAAAUAUAUGUAUAUAUAUAUAUAUAUGCGUAUAACAGAUCAAAUUGGAUAUCCAUUUCUAUAAAUAUUGAUAUUUGUGAUUUGUUUUUUUAUACGGAUAUUGCAUUUUAGUAUUUGAUUUGCUUCGUGGAGUAACAUAUAUCCAGAUUUUUUGGUUCGAAUCAAAACGAAUAAUGAAUCAAAGUAAAGUUUAUGAAUAAUUUGUCCAGCUCUAUUCGUAAACAGUAAAAAUAACGUAAAAAUGAACCAUCCAUGUGAGUUUUAUAUUAAAAAAUGUAAAAUACAUAGUGUGAAAUAUUUAUGUAAGUUUGACUGAGAAGCUUUUUACAUGUGACAUGUGUUCAUUUUAGUGUGAAAUCAUUUAUUACAAUGUUUAUACACGUGACAUGUGUCCAAUUUAAUGUGAACGCAUUUAUUACAAUGUUUCUCUUUUAAUAUAUAAAGGAUUUUAAAAAUUAUGUCAACUAAUAUAAUAACUAUCAAAAGACUAAAAACCUUAUUAUAUGUUUUUUAUCAAAUCUCUAAAAAUAAAACAAACAUACAUUGAAACAGUAUAAAUCUAUCAUAUGAAACAUAUAUUGAUGUUUGAUCAUCUGAUAUGAUCAUAAAUUUUUUUUUAUUAAAAAUAAAUUUUAAAUAAAUUACUUACUGAAGAAUUGAAACAAAAAUAAUGAUUGAUAACUGAUCCAAGUUAAACUGGCUAAACUGAGAAUCGGCCUAUUCCUACAUCAACAAAGGCCAACGGUCCUGAUCAUUACAUGAACAUACGAGCUGUGCGAAUUCAUACACAAACACUCAGUUAAUUCAAAUUUCAUACACGAAUUGAUAAAAUCUGGCUUUUACAUACAUUCACGAUUUUUUUAUUAAUCAAUGAAAAUGGAACAUAAACUGGCAGUUAACGGUUAUAUGCCCCUUAAAAAAUCCUACGUGGCAUUUUUAUUUUAAAACAAUAAAUCAUUAAUUAAAAAUAAUAUAAAUUUCGUUGGGGGAAGAAUAGAACUCGGGCUGGAACAUUAAUUCAUCCAGACAUCAGCCAAUGUGCCAACAUCGACUUAUUGUUUUAAUUUAGUAUGAUAUUCUAUUUACUUUAUACUAUUGAAUAUUUCUGUGUUUUCAAAAAAAACCUCAUGUAUAAAUAUUUUUUCUUCACAAAUUACAUAUAAUUUCUAAUAUGUAAUACAUAACUAAUGUGUAAAUGAACCUAUUGUAUAAAUAUUUUUGUAUUUUAUAAAAAACAUAAUGUAUAAAUAUAUUUUCACAAACUUUCUUAUUUCAAUCGAAUGAAACUUAGAAAUGUGGAAAGAAAUCAUAUUUAACGUGAUUUGAUCCGACCUGUAUAUCCAUAUAUAUGAAUAUCAUUGAUAAGGAUGAACUAAAUUAUUAUAUUAUCAGCAUAAAUUUUCUCUAAAAAUGCAUAUAUAUUUUUCACAAAUUUUAUAUAAUUUCUAAUAUAUAUACAGAUUGUUAUAGGAAUACUUUAAUAUAAAAUAUGAAUAUUGUGUAUUUUUUAUUAUGUUGGACACAUCUCUUGUAAUUUAUUAAUAAAUAUAUAAUUAAAAUGUAAUAUUCACUAGAUUUUUUUUAAACUCAGAAAUAUUCUUUGGUAUAAGUAAAACAUCAUACUAGGUUAAAACAAUUAGUUGGGUUUGGCAUAGUGGCUGAUAUCCGGAUGAAUUAAUGCUACAAUCCACGUUCGAUUCCCCCCUCCCUCAAAAUGUUCAAAAUAAUUUUAACUAAUUAUUUAUUAUUUUAAACGUAAAAAGCCACGUAGGAUUAAAGAAUGACUAGAUUUUGAUCCGCGCUUAAAAAGCGCAAGUUUAUCUUUGAAAUUAAAUAAAUUUUUAAUAUAUAAUUUUUAUAUAAGAUAGUGUAUAGAUUUGAAUGCAUUUACCUAGGUGCACUGAACCGUACCAAACUGGAAAAAACUUCAAAAUUAAGCUAAAUUUCAUAAAUAACCGAGCAUAUCCUAUAUCUUUGGAACCAAAAAAUAGAAACCAAACUGAGAAUCAAAUGAAUACCUAAAUUUUUAAAAUACAAAUUAUGUACCUAUAAAUAUUAAUUAUAUUUAAUUUCUAAAUAGCCAAAUAUAUAAAAAAUACUAUUUAUAAAUCAAAUUAUGCAAAACAAAUUAAUGACUCGAAUAUUUUUUAUUCAAAUAAUUAAUAGUUAAUUAUUCAUCCUAUAUUUUUUUUCCAAACAAACUAAGCUACCCAAUUUAAAGUGCAAGAUAUUUUACCUCUAAUAAAUUCUAAAAGAUAUUCUCGUUAUAAGGUAAGAACUAGAUUUUGACAUGUGUUUAGAAAGUGCGGGUUUAUUUUUGAAAUUAAAUAAAUUCUUCUUAUAUAAUUUCUAUAUAAGAUAAUGUAUAGGUUUGGGUACAUUUACCCGGUUGCAUUGAACGGUUCCAAACUGGAAAAAACCCAAAAAUUAAGCUAAAUUUCAUAAAUAAUCAAACAUAUCUUAUAUCUUUAGAACCAAAAAAAUAGAAACCAAAUUGAGAAUCAAAUGAAUACUUAAAUUUUUAAAAUACAAAUUAUAUACCUAUAUGUAUUAAUUAUAUUUAACUUCUAAAUAACCAAAUAUCAUAAAAAAAUACUAUUUAUAAACCAAAUUAUGCAAAAACAAAUUAAUGACUCGUAUAUUUUUAUUCAAAUAAUUAAUAAUUAAUUAUUUAUCCUAUAUUUUUUUCCAAACAACCUAAACUACCCAAUUUAAAGCGCGAGAUAUUUUACAUUUGUGAAAAUUCAAUAAAACGUAUCAUUUGCAUUGUUAGAAUUUGUAAAGUAAAUAAACAUGUUCUGUUUAAACAAGUAUUUUUUUUACUAAUUUCGUUUAAAUCUCCAACCCGUUUAGACUCAUUUGAUAUUUUUUAAUGAUAAGAUUAAUCAUUUAUUUCAUAUAUAAGAAUGUAAGAUCAAAUCUUAAUAAUUGAUUGCAUGUAAUUAAUUAAAUUAAUGUUUCAUAGUUGAAAAGUUGCAUUAAGGCUUUUAGUUUCCAGUUCACGAAAAAAUGAAAAAAAAUUGUUAUACACCAGAGGAUUCUUCAUUAUAACCUAUUAAUGGAACUAUAUGUGGUAAUGAUCACGUCAUGUAUAAACAUGUUUGAAUAAUCUGUCAUAUAUUUGUGAGAAUUUAUUGUUAGAGUAAUUAUAUAAUAGAUUAUGAAGAAUAAUAAAUGAGUUCAUUUGAAUUAUGUAAAAUAUUUAUAUAGUUUGGGAAAUAUAAGGUAAGACCAAAAAAAAUAGUUAAGUCUAAUGAAAUGGUCCAACAACCUUGUUUAAGUAGAUUUUUUAAGAAUCCUUCACUUUUAAUAGUAUAGAUAUGUAACCGAUCGCUAACUGCCAGCUCAGAUUUUUUUUUCAUUGACUAACGGAAAAUUCGUCAAUGUAUGUAAAAGCCGGACUUUAUCAGUUCAUGUAUGAAAUUUGAAUUAAUUGAGUGUUUGUGUAUGUAUUCGCACAGCUCAUAUGUUCAUGUACUGAUCGGGACCGUUGGACUCUGUUGAUGUAAGAAUAUGCCUAUUUCCCGCUAAACUGAUACCACUUUCCUUAUUUAUUUCAUACUUUUUCAAAAUAAUAUAUGAUUAAUUAUAUAAACUUAAGAAAUUAUAAUUUGAAAUCUAAGAAAAAUGUAAUUAGCAAAAUUAAUCCAAUUUGUCUAAAUAAAAAGUUGUAGGUCAAUUCAGAAAAACAACUACAAUCGAAUAUACACAAAAGUAAAUAAAUAAACACUCAUCUUACUAUACAUAAAAUUGCAUGUAUUGAUAUGGUAUAACAUCAUUAUAUAUGAAUUAUAAAUAAAGAUGAAUUUAUAAAUAAAUGAAAGCAAAAUAUUACAUAUUAUUACUAUUUAGUUUUUUUAAUAGUUUUUAACACGUUAUUUUUACAGUUAUACCGGAGAAUUAUCAUAGCAGAAUCACCUAGUUGAAAUUACAUGUCUUCAAUAUUUAAAAAAAAAAUAUACAUGAAAAAUUGGCUUUCUUGGUUUGAAUUAUUUUUGCAGAAAACUGUUAAUUUCAAAAACAUAAGAUAACUUGUUCCACAACUCUCAGAAUAUACAUUAUGUUUCCAUUGUGGAGUAGAAAACAUAUUAUAACUUUUAAAUUAUUUCUGCCGUGAGUAAAAUAUGCAUUUUACCACUAGCACACUACUAUAUGUUUAAACACACUUUCUAAUGUAUUCAACCAAUUCUUUAUUUGUUAUACUAUGUGUAGAAUACUAGUUCUGCCACUGUAUUUAUUUAAUCAUUCGUAGAACGUGUUUCUGUCGAACUAAUUAUGAAAAUUUUAAAUUUAGGAAUUAAAAAAUAAAUAAAUUAGAUCUCAUGUUAAAAAUCUCUGUUUCAUUCCACGUUUUUACAAACUGAUAUUUUUUUUCUUUAUUAUGUGAUUCUUUUCUAUUGUUUUUUUCAGUUUUGUUCCGACCAGUAUGAUGCAUGUCUUUGUAAGUUUUGGCGAAUGGAUAUUGGACAUCAAUAAGGACUAGAUAUGUGUUGUUAAUGAAGAAAAUUGAGGUAAGCUUUUUACGUUGGAAACAACUACUACUCUGGAAAAACUUAAGAAAAUGGUUUUAGAAAAUUAUGGAAUCAUACAACACAAUGUAUAAUUUUAAGUUAGAAGCUAAUUAAAUUUAACCUUUGCUAGAUAAUUUAAGAUAUAUAUAUAUAUAUAUAAUCGUAUAAGUAACAGCUAAUGAUGAUCAAAUUAAUUAAAAUAAUAUUAAAAUACCAAUUAUGUUAUAGAAAUAUUGGAUGAUGACUUGAAAUAAAAUGUACUUAAUUAUUUCUAAUUUAUGAUCAUUAUUAUAAAGUAUUUAAAUUUUGGUUAUUUAAAAAUACUAAAUAUAAAAUUUGGAAAAUAUCAGACAUAAGCUAGACUUGAGGAAUAUGAGUGCAUCAAUAUUAACUGAAUAUAAAAUAUUGUAUCUUUAAUCAUAUGUGAAAUUUUAGUUGCAUGAAUUAUGUUGCAAUUGUUCUAAUCAUUUAACUUCUUUUCAACCACUGAAAUAUCUUUUAUUAAAUUUUAUUAUGCUGUUAAAGUAUUUUAACAAUUGAAAUUUUUUUUGUUUCAUUAAAAUUGUCUUUCUAAGAAUUAUCAGUAAUAUGUUUAUCAAUAUGAAUUUAAUAAAUAUUACUAAUAUGAUUUAUUUUUUCAAAAUAUAAUAAUUUAGAAACAAUAUGUCAAAAUAUCAAAAAUUAAGGAAUAGUUCUAAAUUUAUUAAUUUUGUAAUAUAAUUGACCAAUAUCAAUUUAAAAAUGUAGCCACAAAUAUAACAUUAUUUUUUAAGAAAUAUAUUUUGGUUGUGAAAAUAGAUCUUGACAAAUAGUAAUUAUAUGUGUAUACUAUUAAGUUUUAGUACAUUAACUAAUCAUGAUUUUUUGCAUUAGUUUGAGAUAAGAAAAUAAUAUAUGACAUGUAUAUUGAAAAAAUACUGGAAAAUGAAGUUCAGAAUACAAUAAUUUUAUAGCUAUGACAAUGUUUUAGAACAAAUUUGAAAGUUUCUUGUUUAGAAUUAUACAUAUCUAAAUAUUUAAACAUAAAUAAAUAUGUUGUAUCUUUGAUCAUAUGAGAAAAAAACAUUUUAAAACCAAUAUAAAAAUAUUUUCCUCAAAGUUUGUUUUCUUUAUUUUAGUUUUUUGAAUAUGUUUCAUUUAACUAUUUAAACAGGAAAAAUUAUUGCCAACUGCAUAAACUAUAUGUCACUACUAUAUGAUUACAUAUGUAUAAAAUAAUAAUGUACUAAAAACUAGACGAAUUAUAUGAUUCAUAUGACGAAAUCCUGAACUAUUAUAUGUUAUAUUGUUAACACCAUAAACAUCAUUGUAAUAGCUAAAAAGUGUUUCAGAUUGGAGAUCUAGCAACAAUUGAUGAGUUUUUGGUCAACCAAAGUCUUUGAAAUAUAUCUAGCACACAUACAAGAGAUCAAAAAUAGAAUACAUACAUAGAUCAAGGAUUUAAAUGCAAUGUUAUACAACUCAGAAUAUAAAAUGAUAUAUAAAAACUCCAUUAAAACUAUUGGAUUCCAACAUACAUAUUAGCUAUUUGAAUGAUGUUAAUGGUGUUGCAAAAUAACAAAUAAUAGCUUAGAGAUGUUAUCAUGUAAAUCAUAUAGUUCAUGUAGUUUUUAAUACAUUACUUUUGUUCAGAUGUGUGGCUUUCAUGUAGCUCACAAUCCCUUUCCGUUUAAUUAUAAUCUUCUUUCAUUUCAUUUCAUUUCAAAUGAUAUUACUACUUUGACUUCUAAUGAUUAAGAUGUUGUUUAGUAAUAAAUAAAUUUGCAUGUAACAAUUGAAAUUUAUGAUAAUCUAAUCUAUAGUCAAUAUAUAGUGUAAAAUAUUUUUAAUAUAUUUUAAUAAAUUUAGUUAACUAAUUUUUUUUAAUUUCAGUUUAAUAUAUAUAUAUAUAUAUAUAUAUUUAUUUAUAAUAAAUAUGAUAUUAAUAUUUUGAUUUCCACACUUCAGCACAUUAAUAUGAAGCUAGCUACCACAAUUGUCGAAUCAAGUCUCCAAACGUAGAUCAAAGUUUCUGAGAAAACAUGCAGGGAGAGAGAAAAAGUGUUGAAAUGUGUUUAAAUAAUAAAUAUAUGCUCAUUUAAUAACUGAAAUGUAUGAUAAUGUAAUCUAUAGCUGUUAUAUAAUGUGAAAUAUUGAAAAUCAUUAUAUUUUAUUAUGUUUAGUUAACUAAAGUUAUGUUUUCUUAUUUUAGCCUACUAUAUAUAUAAUAAUAAUACUAUAAAUUGUGUAGUGCGAUAUAAGACAUUUCACUUAACUAAAUUAUUAAAAUACAAAUUAUUUAAUUUUACAUGUGUAAAUAUUUUUAAUUUAUUUUAUUUUUCAUACAUUUUAUUUUGAAUCCUAAAAUCUCAACUCUUAAUUUUUUUUAUUUUAGUUCAAUUUAUCUUAUUCAUUAGAGAAAGGUUUCAAUAUAUGUAUUUAGUAAGAAAUUAAAAUUGUACAUGAAAUAUUUCUGAGAUCAUUUAUAUGAUAGGAAUAUUAAUUAAAUUUUGAUGCAAAUAUUAGUUUUAUAUAAUAUAUACGCAUAUUAUUUUAAAAGAUUUAAUUUAUUACUAUUUACAUUAUUAAACAAAUAAUUUUAGCUACAAUUAUAUUUAUAUAUAUAAUGAUUAAAGAUAAAUAAUAUUAGUAAUUAUAAAUUUAAAUAUAUGGAUCAUAGUUAUAUUCUAAGAUAAUUUAUAAGUUUUUUAAAUUUAUUAUAAUGAUUAUAACAAAUGGUUAAGUUCAAAUUGGAUUGUAUAUAUAAAUGUUGAAGGUAAUGAAAUCAUAAGUCAAAAGGGUAAUAACAGUUUAACAUUUAAUUAUGGCCAAAAAUGUUUUACAAUUUUUCGUUUUAAUAUAGAAAAACAUGUUUUGAGAUUAUUUUAUUUGAUUUUUUAAUAAAACUGACAAUGUCUAGUCAUCUAAGAUAGAAAGUCAGUCUUUAUAUUAUGAAAUGUAUUCAUUUGUAUAUAUUGUGAAAAUAUUGAAAUAGACGAUGAUUUAAAAAUUAAUUUAAUCUCUGAUGAAUAUUAAAAAAUCAAAAGGAAAAUAAAUUAUAUAGUGAAAUACUAAGCAUAGUUAUUUAUACAAAGAUGUAUUUUACAUAAAUGUUAUCACAAAAUUAUUUUAAUUUGAGAAGUCACUGAUAUUUUGUUCUGCGUCAACUUUUCUACAAAUAUUUUUUAACAAAGUUGAAUAUAAUGUUAUUAGAGAAUUUUUAAAUUUGAGAAGUUGUCUUUUUCUUAAUCAAUCAUUCUACAAAUAUGUUCUGUUUUUUUUUUUUACAAAGAUGAAUAUCAUAAAAUGUAAUCCACGUAAAUAAAUUUAUGAUGGGUACAUUUUUCCACGUACAAAAUGUAUUUUCAACUCUUGUUACUCUUAAAAUACAUAACUAUACACAAUUUCUUGCAUGUUAAUAUCUUAAGCAUUUCAUUUCAAAACACCAAACCAUUUUAAUAAUUCAUUUUAAUAUCUGUAUUUAGCCUGGAUAUAUGUAUUAGCCACUAUAAUUGAUACACUCAUUGCUUUGUAUCUUUAAGAAUUAUUUAAACCAAAACAAUUAGUUUUAAGAAACAAGAUUAAAUGUUUUGUAAGUUCCAAUUAAAAUUUACCAAACAAGUCUAAGUGGGGGUUAUUGGUUCCAAUACUUUAGUGGAUUUACAAAUUCUUUUUGGAUUUAGAAAUCAUUGACAAAUCCCUUUAUUUUAAAAUCAAACAAACAUAUUUCAAAAUCAAUGAUAUAAAUUUCCAAAUCAAAAUAAGUUGAUUGUUAUAAAUGAAUGAAAUGGAUUUUAAAUUGAAGUUCACAUUGCUAAGCUCGAAAAAAGUAUAAUUUUCUUGUUUCAUUUAUUAGAUGGUGUUUCUUUAUGAUUUGUGAUUGGUUAUGUUACUUGAAUCACAAUAAUAUGAUAAUUAAUUCAGUAUGUUGGUAGGCAAGACACGGUUCGUUUGUAUGGUUACUGUCAAGUGUCAAUUUAAAAUUGGAAGAAGCGCCAAUAAUAUCUCUCUUCACAAGAGACAACCCAGUCAGUUUUUUCCGAACAACACGGUUUCGUAACGAUACAAAGGUAACACCACCAUCUGAUUCUUGUGUCGGCGAGAAGGUAAAACACUCUGGCCAACUACGCUUAAACUCCUCUGCUCCAUUGAUAAAACGUCCGACGGACAAAGUUAGAGUCUUUGGUGAGAAAGGUGCAUAAAUUGAAAAACAUAAGCAUCAACAUUCCAGCAGGUCUUAAAAUAGUGAAGAAAUACCUCAGGAAAAACAAAUCCUUUUCGUCAACAACGGCUCCGCCGCCUUCUACUACGGCAACGAAAAAAGAAAAAAAAACAUCGUCUGAGGCACGGAGACGCGAUGAUCCUCUUCUGCAACAACAAGAUAGCAUAAAAGUGUCAUCCUACACAAUAACAUGAUAACUAACCACAACUUUGUUUGUAUUUAUUUUCCAAUAAGUUUGCGUGCAAAACAUGCCCCUGAUGCAAAUUCUGAACAUGAACAAAAGACAUUAUAACGAGGUCUAUAUCAACCACGUGUAUUGGGGAUACACAAAAAAUAUAAGAAAAUGGAAAAAAACCCAAUAAUGCAAAUCCAAUCAAAAUAACAAGGUAUAAUUUGAUAUUUGCUCCCUUGUAUUUUACUCUUAAAAAUACUCAUAAAUCCACUCAAAUCAAAAUCAAAAUCAAAUCUUCAAAUAAAUCAUUAACAUUGAAUAACACUUGAUUCUAAAAACUCUUUUAAAAUCAUAUAACCAAUAACACCAGAUUUAAAAUUAGAUUUUAAAAUAAUAGAACCAAUAAUACUUGAUUUGGAUUGGAUUUUCAAAUUCAUAAAAAUACAUAAACCAAUAACACCCUCUUAAAAUUUCAUUUUUUUUAUAAACGGUUUAACAAGUUUAAUUUCAUAUAUUUAUGUGUUGGUUCACAUUUUCCUCAUCCUAUUGAUUACAUGUACCAUAUUUGGUUGCUUCAUAUCCAAAAUUUACUUCUGUGUUGUUGUUGUUUCUAAUUUCUCUACAGUUUGGUACAAAAAUAUGAAGUGAUAUAAAUGUUGUUGGUUUACAAACACCAUGAUUGUUGCUUCAUAAUCAAUAAAAAAAUUUUUUAUUAAAAACAUUUUCAAUCAAAUAAUAUCACAUUCUUAUUUCACUAAUUUCAAAAAUGUCUGAAUGAAAAUAAAAUUCAUUUUAUACCAAAAUCUUUUUUGGUCAUUCCCUAAAUUUUUAUAUGUAAGAAUGAAAUGUUUCAUGUGUCUUUUAGAUCGUAGUAGAAAAUAUCACAUUUAAGUUACAACACCAACCAGAAGAGAUUAUAGUUAUUUGAUAUAUUAUCAAUUAAACAGAUUUCAUAUAUUAUCAACAAAAUAUUUAUGAAAAGUUGGAUUUCUCUUAUACCUUCCAUUAGAAUAUAUGUCAUGUUAAUUAACAUUAUUAAAAAUUGUCAUUUCUUAAAUUCUGUAUAUUUUAAACAUGAUCCUUGAAAAUAGGCCUUGUUCCAUAUUCCACGUCUUAAGUCACCAAAUCUUACACCGCAAAAUAAAUAAAUUAAAUUUAUAUAAACUUUAUCGCUGAGAAUGUGAAGUUAGUAUUGAAGAUGGUGACAGAUCUAAUAAACUUGACAAUGUCUUUGACUCAAUUUUAAGAUUUCUUAAGUUGCAAAAUUUGUUUUAUGUAAUUUUGUUUUAUAUAUUGAAUGUAAAUAUAGAUUAUCUAGCAUAUAAUGUAUAAUCUCAGUGAAAGCUAAACCCCAGUUGGCAUGGAUCAAAUGAUAAAUAUAAAGUAUUUAAAUUCACAGUUUUACAAAGAAUAAGAUGUGUAAUAUAUAUAUAUAUAUAUAUAUAUAUAUAUAUCAUAUAUAUAUAUCAUAUAUGUAUAACAUAACAAUUAUUCAAAAUUUUCAAUCUAGAUAAAAAUAUAUGAAUGGUAUCUCAAAAUUUUUGAUGUGCAUUUAUAUAUAUGAUAAUUUCUCAUUUAUAUUACAACGAAGCUACACACUUAACUAUAGUUUAACUUUUAGCUUUAUGUAUACAGUAUAAAGUAGACAUAAUAUUGGUUGAUUGAAAAGUCCCAAAAAAUAAUAAAUUGAUUGAUCUUUUAUCGUGUUGUAUAUACAUAACUAACUCAAAUAAUUACUAUACGGUAAAUUUAUAUUUUUUUAUCAUUUUGGAGAAAUAUAAAUUUUUACUCAAUAAACAUGAUGUAAUUUGAAGUGUUACUGGUCAUACAAUAAAUCCGAUGAAUUAUUUAUCUACUACAAAAAUUUCUUGAUAUAUUAAGCUAUAGAUAAAAUAGUUAAUAGUAUAUGGAAAUAUGUUUUUUCAUUUCUAGUGUUUGAUUAUGUACGUAUAAAUGUGUAUUAAAUUUUUUAAAAAAUUAUUGACGUAUUACAUAUGUGUUUAAUUAAGAUAUACAAAUGAAUUAGAUGUUUAAGUAUAAGUAUAGUUUAAUGUGGCUAUAAAAUUGUUAGUAAUCAUUUAUGUAAAAAUGUUAGUAUCUAAUGUCUCGUCGUUGCUACCCCUGAUUUCAUCGCAGCUCGCGGAUAAUUCUAGGUCACAGUUUUUGCCACCGAUUCUCCGUUUAAGAUCUUCAUAUUUGGCUCAUCUCUAGAUCUCAUUCAUCUGUUGAUCUCGUUCAUUUCUGAUCCAGUUGAGGCGGUUCAAAACCUUAUGUUCUCAUGUGUUAUUAUAUUGUGAGAUGUAUGAAUUAGGAAAAUAUCAGUUUUAUUUAAUGAUGUUAAGUUGUUAGAAACAUGUUGACUGAUGCAUAAAAAGGCUUAUAAUUGUUAAAAUAUUAAAUAAACUGAUUUGGUUGAUGCAACUGAUAGAUGAUAUUGAAUUGUAAUGAUGAGCGAACUAGAAUGGCUAGAUGCAUAAUGAUUUGAAUUGGAUAAUGAGAAUGAGAAUGAAUUAUGUUGUGUUGUAAGAUCUGGAUCCCAUGAUUUGUGUGAUUGGUGCGGAUCCGAAAAGUAAUGGAUGAAAUUCUGAGUAAAAAUGAUUGUGGAACCACGGGGUGGAUGGACGAUUGGCUGGUGAUCACUAGUGAGAAGCCAAAUAAGACCGCAAGGUGGACAAUGCACGAUAACUCAGGCCAUGAGUGGAGAGUCUAGGGAAAUUUGGUUUUGUGUAAGCUGUGGUGUUGUAUGUGUGAAUAUGUUGAAAAAGCUCUUUAACUGCAGCUUGUCAGUUCUUGUUCUUGCAUUGAGUUGUAUUGUGGUUCAUGCGAUAAGGCUGGUCUAUCACUGGAUAAUCCAAAUUACUCAUCUCCUCUAUCUUUACUUUCUUCGCAACAUUGUGAAUAGAAGUUGUGGUUAAGUUGGUAGAUUUAAGAAGUUUUCUCUAAAUUCAUGGACCAAAGAGAGGACAUAGUGGCUUGCUUUUAGGUGAAUACAUAUGUAUUAACACACCAUUUAGCAUUUGGGAGGUGUAAUACCCAAAUUUGUGGGAGUAGUAUAGGUAGAAAGAACUUAUAAGAAUUGAUUUGGCUACUUAUGGUACAAAAGUACAUUUACUUUUUUGGUUAACCAUCCAAAGAAAACUCAUAGGUUAAGUGUGAUUGAGCUAAAGUAAUUAAAAGAUGCCUGACAUAUCAGGAAGCUGAUGCAAGGUAGUCCGUGUGAGUGAGGACAAACACGGAAAACAAUCAUCUCGUAUAUGUAGGAUCUGUAUAUCAAAUCUACUGAGCUUACUUACUAAUAACACACCGGACGUCGAACGAAACCAAAUCUUUCUAGUAAUAGACCGAGUGUCAAACAAAGAUGAGGCUAACGAACGUUGACGGGUGGGGACAUUACUAGGCUAGUGUUACACAUUAGCUCAGAUGUGGAGACUUCUGUCUCUAUUUAUACUUCCUCUCAAACUCUUAGUUUAUAAGUACCAUAAAUGUAUACUUAGUAACUUAAUUUCUAUUUUUUACUGUUGUCUGAUUUUUGUUUUCCUCUGAGGGUUGCUCUAUAGUAAAUGAAUAAGAUUUGGUUGUUUUCCUCUGAAGAUUGCUCUAUAGAGAUGAAUAAGCGAUCUAACUGCUAUAGGUAAGAGAAUUAACAUGAUUUUGGCGAUCUAACUGCUGAGAAUUAACAUGAAUUUGGCGUCGGCUCAAAGCUCACCAAGUUUCCUUAGUUUGAUCUUCUCAUCAGUAAUUUACAUACUUUAACCAACUCUCAAAUUCUCAUUAGAAUGCAAUGAUAAUCCAGAAAUGUAUAACACUUCAAAAUUCUUGCAACCUAAGCAAUGCCAAAAUAUAAAAAAAAAUUAAAAUUGAAGCAUCAUGUCAUAAAA